UUCAGUACAAAUUUAGAAAUGCAUGUACGCGUCGCGUUGAGGUCUGAUUUAACCCUUAGUCGUCAAAAUACAUAAUAU